ACAGGAUGAAGAGAAAAUGAGCAAGGAGCUGCUAAGACCACAGGCCCACACCAGUGCUUCAGGAACAGCACACAAAUCACUUUCCAGCCCUAGGUUCUUUUUCAAGUCUGUAUGAGAAGUCUGAUAAACUACAGUACGAUGCUAGCGAGUCUCCCGAGGGGUCACACUUCUGUCUGCGCAGGCCUCCCCCAACUCCUGAGGUACAGACAGCGCCUUCACUCCAUGUGGAGCCAUCGCUGCAGAACCUUGCUCACCUUAUUCAUCUGGGACUCGGCACCAGCUAGCCACAUCUGAAACACAUCUACGUCCCAUUUUUUCCAGCUAUUCCACUUCUAGGCAUAUUCCCAGAAGAACUGAAAGCAUCAUACCACAGUGAUAUAGGCGCACCUAUGUUUAUAGCAGCACAAUUUGUAAUCGCCAGAUCUUGGAAACAACCCAAGUGUCCAUCAACUGAGGAAUGGAUAAAAAAGUUGUGGUAUUUCUAUACAAUGGAGUACUACUCAGCUAUAAAGAAGGAUCACAUUGAGGUAUUUAUCAAUAAAUUGGGAGCAGCUUGAAACCAUACUCAUAAGUGAAAUAAAUCAAACUCACAUCUGUGAACACCGAAUAGUUUCCCUAGUGUAAGAAAUGAUUCAAAUAUAUAAAAGUAUGUGGUAACAAAGAUUCCCCAUUAUGUGGCCUUGAAGCCUUAUAAAGUUUUCACUCAUUAAUUGGAAUGGCUUUAUUCUGGGCUAUUUGAUAUUAUGGCCUGUGAUGCAAUGAACAGCUAUUUUGAAGAAAACAAGACAUCAUAAUAGCUAGUGCUGAUUUAAUACCAUCUUGUUUUGAAGCCGCACCAAACUAUGGCUCUUCUGUCUCCAUUGAUUUUAUCAUGUUGUAUCUUGCUGGAUUUUAUCGUAUGUGGUAGUAUAAACAAAAAUUGUUAUAGGCAAAGAGACAAUAUAGAAAUCAUUGUUCAUUUUUCUGUUAGCUGGUUCUAAAUACUCUACAAUGCUUUCAUCCACUUGAAUGGUGUUACACUGUCUUGAUAUGUUUGAUGCUAUAGCAUAUGAAGUUAUAUUCAAAUAUUUCAAGGAAAAAGACACUAUGGUAACUACUUAAUAGUUGGGUUAUUUGGUGGUGAAGCACUAGGUUGCUGAAAGUGUCAUGCUUUAACCUGUAUUGUUAUGUUGUUAUGUCCCCUUUUAUCUCAACCUCUCCCUUAUUCAUUAAAAAAUUAUUUAAUUUUUUAAAUUUCUUUUUUAAACUAAAGGGAAAAAUAGAAAAAACUAGCCGGAUAUAUUAUAGUAACUUUUUUGAUUUCCUAUUAACUUGAAGUCCUGUAAUACCCCCAUUAUCUUGUUUUGACUGAUUAGACUCUAUUCUGCUCUGUAUGAAAGUAUCAGGUAUCAGAGUAUAGGCAACCACUUUGAAGACAAUAAGAUUCACUAUGAUGCCCAUUCUGGUUUGACUAUUAUCCUCUUUUGAGGUUGUGUAAGAUUUACAAUGUUUAAGUUUUAUUGGUCUUGUUCUCUACUGUUUUGUUCAACUUUAUAAUACCUAAUGAGAUAGACAAUUCUUCUUAAGGAAGCAAGAGGCAUUAUGGUAACCAUUGUUGAAAACCUUGUACUCUGUUUUUACAUCAUGUGCUAUAUCUAUCCUUGGUUUUGACUGACAGCUUUGUUUUAGCAUGCUUGAUUUUAUUCUCUUACAAAAAAAGUAAUAACAUCUAAGGGAGCAAUAAAACCCAAAAUGUGUAAAUUUUGUUGUAACAAAUAGAGGGGGGAAAAAAGUGCCCUAAAGGAUACAUCAGCAAGGGUGUUUAGGUGUGUGUAAUAUAGAUGUCCAUAUUAAUAUUUUUGAUUGGAUUACUGAACACAACUAUUUGCAGUCUCACUGUUUGAAUGUUCACUUUGCAUGCUUUGAUCCUGUGACCUGAAACAGUUUCUAAGAUGAUAGCAUGUAAUCUAUUAACUGGUGAUAGCUUACUGGUUUUUUUUUUUUUGUUUUGUUUUGUUUUUUGUAGUUCUGUAUACUUGUACCCUUACACUGUUUUGUUUUGUUCUGCUUUUUUUUCUCUUUUUCCUUUAAAAAAAAAAAAAACAAAACACAUCUACAACUGGGUUUUCAGGUUCUCACCCAGAGAUCAGACACCUGGAGUGCAUUUUCUUGGAUUCAUGUAUGAAAAAAUUAAACUUGAGUUUGAAAUCAUGAAAUUCAGACUAGAAAGAAAUAAGCUAAUGUUUUAAAGAUAGGAAUAUUCUUCUAGCCAAUAUAUUAAGCUGAUUUAUUGUGUGCAAUUUGGCUUUUUUUCUCCAAACUUUACUAAAGGCAUUUUCAAAGGCCACACAUCGCCUGUUAGGUGGAGGCAUCUGACCGUGGUGUCCUCUUCUCUCAGAAAGUCACUUCCCCUUUCUUCCUCCCUUCUUGUUCAUCCACAAAGCACAGGAAUUGCCUACACCUCCACCCUGGUCCUUCUCUUCAUGCUGCAUGUCCUCCUGUAACCUCCCUUUUGGGAGGUUUUGCCAUAAAUUUGGCAUUACCUUCAUGUUCCGUGACUGCCUGGUCAUCUCUUUGUACCUUCCUAGUAUUUCUUGGUCCUCCCCUCCAGGUGACCCCUGAUCUUGCCACAGUUUUCAAGUACUGUCAGUGCAUUUUCAAAUAUAUCUUUUAUAUUCUCUCACACUGUUUUCUUCCAACCAACAUGGACUGCUCUGUUUCACCUGGACAUCUCUCCCCAUGCUUGGUUCCAGUCACAUUUAUUAACAGCUUUACUGAAACAUCAAUGACACAUAAUGAAGUAUACUUAAAGAAUCUACUUAAAGUACAAAAUUUGACAAAUUUUGAGAUGUACAUCAAUCCAUGACACCAUUAGCACACUCAUAAUAUCCAUCACCCCCAAAGGACUCUGUACUGUUACAUAGUUAGAUGGGAGUACUGCACAUGAGAUUGACUACAGAGAAAGAUAAUGUACUUUGUAUUUUGAAAAGCUAGAAGCAGUUUGAAUGCUUUCAGGUGAUGAGCGUUUGGUUAGAUACAUGUAACCUGACUGAAACAUUACACAACAUGUACAUGUACUGACAUAUCACAUGGUAUCCUGUGAUAUGACUUUUAUCAGUUAAAAUUUAGAAAGGGAAGAAAAAGUCUCAUCUUGGUAUUGGGAACUUGUUUUGUUUUUUUUUCAUCAGUCUGACCAGAUUGUUCUAAUUGAUAUUUACUAUUUUUUUCUCAAUUUCUUUUUUCAUUGAUUUUUGCUCUAAUUCCUGUUUUCCUUUCUUUUGUUUUCUUUGGUUUAAUUUGCUCUAAUUUUUCUAGUUUCUUGAAAUGGAAACUGAGGUCACUGAUUUGAAAUCUUUCUUCCUUUCUAAUCUGGGUAUUAUUUCUAUUUAAGUAUUGCUUUAGGAAUAUUACAAAAAUUUUGAUGUUACAUUUCAUCUUCAUGUAGUUCAAAAUACCACGGAUUACUUUGGAGUAUGGUUUUUAGUUCCCAGGUUUUAGAGGAUUACUUCAAAGAUUUCUCUGUUACUGUUUUUAACUUGAUUUCAUUAUGGCAGAAACCUUGGACUCUUUUAGACUGUGACAUGAAACAGAAUAUGGCCUAUCAUGGCAAAAACACAUGUGAAAACCAUGUAUAUUCUGAUUUUGUUAGGUAAAGUAUUUUAAAAUGUUAGUUUUGUGGAUAGUGUUCAGGUCUUCUGUAUACUUGGUAAUUGUCUAUUGACUUAUUAAAUAGAAACAUUAACAUUUCCAA